UGGCUCAGGCUGGNCACCUCCUUAGUUGUUCCCUGAGGUUAGCGGCGGACGGGUGAGUAACACGUGGGUAACCUGCCUGUAAGACUGGGAUAACUCCGGGAAACCGGGGCUAAUACCGGAUGGUUGUUUGAACCGCAUGGUUCAGACAUAAAAGGUGGCUUCGGCUACCACUUACAGAUGGACCCGCGGCGCAUUAGCUAGUUGGUGAGGUAACGGCUCACCAAGGCGACGAUGCGUAGCCGACCUGAGAGGGUGAUCGGCCACACUGGGACUGAGACACGGCCCAGACUCCUACGGGAGGCAGCAGUAGGGAAUCUUCCGCAAUGGACGAAAGUCUGACGGAGCAACGCCGCGUGAGUGAUGAAGGUUUUCGGAUCGUAAAGCUCUGUUGUUAGGGAAGAACAAGUGCCGUUCAAAUAGGGCGGCACCUUGACGGUACCUAACCAGAAAGCCACGGCUAACUACGUGCCAGCAGCCGCGGUAAUACGUAGGUGGCAAGCGUUGUCCGGAAUUAUUGGGCGUAAAGGGCUCGCAGGCGGUUUCUUAAGUCUGAUGUGAAAGCCCCCGGCUCAACCGGGGAGGGUCAUUGGAAACUGGGGAACUUGAGUGCAGAAGAGGAGAGUGGAAUUCCACGUGUAGCGGUGAAAUGCGUAGAGAUGUGGAGGAACACCAGUGGCGAAGGCGACUCUCUGGUCUGUAACUGACGCUGAGGAGCGAAAGCGUGGGGAGCGAACAGGAUUAGAUACCCUGGUAGUCCACGCCGUAAACGAUGAGUGCUAAGUGUUAGGGGGUUUCCGCCCCUUAGUGCUGCAGCUAACGCAUUAAGCACUCCGCCUGGGGGAGUACGGUCGCAAGACUGAACUCAAAGGAUUGACGGGGGCCCGCACAAGCGGUGGAGCAUGUNGUUUAUUUCGAAGCAACGCGAAGAACCUUACCAGGNCUUGACAUCCUCUGACNAUUCCUAGAGAUAGGACGUCCCCUUCGGGGGCAG
rnacentral:rRNA from 1 species